rnacentral:lncRNA from 1 species
GCGAACGAGAGGCGGAAAAAAGGAAGACGCUUCCUGAAGUUGGGGGUAUGAGACAGAAGUUGGGGGUAUGAGACAGAAGUUGGGGGAGAGUGGGUUUCCAAUCCGAGUAAAAGGCAGUGUGGUGGAAGUUAACAAGAGAAAAUGUUGAGACGAGGUAGAGCAGGCAGGAAUAAACGAAGUAAGGUGUUUUUAUUAGGAGUGAAGGAGAGAGACGAGUGCUGUUGUGUGAAACGUAGGUGCGGGUAGUUGAAUCCCUAGUUUUCUGCAGCAGAAGCCGAAAAUAACGCUAAAAAUAAGUUCAGUUGCCCGGGACAGAGUUGCGCACGUUAUAACCACACGGUGUACGCCUCUUAAGAACUCAGCAGUGAAAUACACUUUCGUAUGUUCUGCUUUUGUCUCUAAAAGUGUUCCAAAAUGGAGGUGUUUUUACUUUUUAAAGAAACUAAAUGCAAAUAGGCAAAGGUGUGUGACCAUCCCUUAGAAAACGAAUGUCCACGCUUCUGCCACGCCAGGAUGGUCUACCUUUCUUCAGGGUGAAAUUAGUAAGUAAAAGGCUGCUGCAGCACCGAGAAAGGACCGAUGCAGGAAGGAUGCAGGAAGGCACCAAACUUGGUUCUAAUCUUGGCUCUGCUAACAAAUUGGUGUCAUUGCACAGGUCACUUCAAUUCUUCUGGGCCUCAGUUUCGUUAGAUAGUCCCAUAGGUAUCAUUUCAGAUAUUUCCCAAUGCGAUACUGUUCCCACUUCAUUUACUGUUGCCCUAACUUGAGAGAGCUUGAAGUUAGAAAGAGAUUUAUACACAAAACACCAGCAGGAGCGAUUUCCCUUUUUUGCAAAAUAUCUUUAUAAUUUCAGUUAAACAUGUAUUUUCUUAAGAUUUGUGGCUUUGUAAUAACUCUUGCAAUGUCAGCAGUUUUCCUCGGAAAAGGAAGCAUUUCUUAAUUAGAGCAUACCCACAAGAUACUCCCAAAUAGUUAAUAUUUUAUAUUCUGGAACUUAUUCCUAUCUGUUUGAAAUCAAAUGUAGUCAGGAAUUAGAUUGUGAAUGUCUCAUAUUCUCAGGGUAACAAAUGAAAGUGUCUUCCGCUAAUGAAAGAACAAAGAUAAUUGUGUGAUUUGCAAAUGUUAGGUGUUGAACCAAAACCCAAAGACUAAUUAAUGAUUAACGAGGUGUUAGGAGUUUUGUUAAAAAAAGAAAUUGCUGGGCAUGUUGGUGGGUUCCUGUAACCCCAGCUACUCUGGAGGGUGAGGCAGGAGAAUUGCUUCAACCCGGGAGGCGGAGGUUACAGUGAGCUGAGAUCACGCCAUUCCACUCCAGCCUGGGCGACAAAAGCGAAACUCCAUUUCAAAAACAAACAAACAAAAAAACCUCUGUGUGAUCUUAUAAAAAUGAGGCCGGGUGCAGUUGCUAACAUCUGUAAUCCCAGCACUUUGGGAGGCCAAAGCGGGUGGAUCACAAGGUCAAGAGAUCAACACCAUCCUGGCCAACGUGGUGAAACCCCCUCUCUACUAAAAUACAAAGAUUAGCCAGCAUGGUGGCGGGCACCUGUAGUCCCAUAUACCAGGGAGGCAGAGGCAGGAGAACCACUAGAACCUGGGAGGUGAAGUUUGCGGUGAGCGAAGAUUGUGCCACUGCAUUCCAGCCUGGGCGACAGAGCGAUACUCCAUCUCAAAAAAAAAAAAAAAAAAUGAAUACUCCCUAUGGCUUUUCAUCCCUUAGAGUGUGCUUUUGUAAGUCUAUUGCCCUGUGUAGUUGUCAUUAAAUUAAUAUGCCAGAUAAAUAACAGAUGAACAGUGUUUAUGGAGCAUCACAAAAUCUCUUUGGCUGGAAACUUUUUUACAUGUGUCUUAAAAUCGCUAUAUUUUCUGUAGUCUGUAAGGAUCACAGAUGUAGCGAGAAAACCUAUGGAUAAAUAAAAGUCGGUUUACUAAGACAAAAUGAAUUACAUCUGGAUGCAAACAUUACAUAUGUGAUUUAUCUAUAUUAGCCAUGUACCCUUGGGAGUACAUGAAUGUAGAAACCUUAGCAUCUCAUAAAGAAGAAUUACAUUAAAGCUCCAAUAAGGGAAAACUGAUACACAUAAACAUCUGACUACUAAAAAAUUAAGAGUUAACAGUGAAACUUGCCCCUUAAGUCGAAACCUCUCAAAGUAAUGCUCAUUUAAAUGACAUUAUAUCACUGAUAAAGUAUCAACCAAAGUAUGCUUGUAAUAGAUAAUUUUAUUCCAUUACUUCUGAAUCUAAAUCUUGAGCAGAAAACCUUAACCUAAAGGAUCAGACUUCUAGUAGAAUCCUAGGAAACUGAAUUUGC